rnacentral:rRNA from 1 species
CAGAGUACCACGGGACACGUGAAACCCUGUGGGAAGCAGGAGGGCCCACCCUCCAAGGCUAUAUACUACCUAGUGCCCGCUCGCGCAUAGUACCGUGAGGGAAAGGUGAAAAUAACCCCGGGCGGGGCGUGCAAUAGAACCUGAAACCCUGCACUUACAAGCAGUGGAGGCACAUUUCUUGUGUGACCGCGUACUUUUUGUAGAACGGGCCAACGAGUUACGUUAAGUAGCAAGGUUAAGCACUUAAGGUG